CGUAGGUGGUUUGUUAAGCGAGAUGUGAAAGCCCCGGGCUUAACCUGGGAACGGCAUUUCGAACUGGCAGACUAGAGUGUGGUAGAGGGUAGUGGAAUUUCCUGUGUAGCGGUGAAAUGCGUAGAUAUAGGAAGGAACACCAGUGGCGAAGGCGGCUACCUGGACCAACACUGACACUGAGGUGCGAAAGCGUGGGGAGCAAACA
rnacentral:rRNA from 1 species